GAUGAACGCUAGCGAUAGGCCUAACACAUGCAAGUCGAGGGGCAGCAUAAGGAAGUAGCAAUACUUUCUGGUGGCGACCGGCGCACGGGUGAGUAACACGUAUGCAACCUGCCUUCAACAAGGGCAUAACCCGUUGAAAGACGGACUAAUACCCUAUAAUACAGGGGCCCCGCAUGGGGAUAUUUGUUAAAGAUUUAUCGGUUGAAGAUGGGCAUGCGUUCCAUUAGCUGGUUGGUGGGGUAACGGCCCACCAAGGCAACGAUGGAUAGGGGAACUGAGAGGUUUAUCCCCCACACUGGUACUGAGACACGGACCAGACUCCUACGGGAGGCAGCAGUGAGGAAUAUUGGUCAAUGGACGCAAGUCUGAACCAGCCACGUCGCGUGAAGGAAGACGGC
rnacentral:rRNA from 1 species